rnacentral:rRNA from 1 species
GGAAUAUUGGACAAUGGGCGCAAGCCUGAUCCAGCCAUGCCGCGUGAGUGAUGAAGGCCUUAGGGUUGUAAAGCUCUUUUGUCCGGGACGAUAAUGACGGUACCGGAAGAAUAAGCCCCGGCUAACUUCGUGCCAGCAGCCGCGGUAAUACGAAGGGGGCUAGCGUUGCUCGGAAUCACUGGGCGUAAAGGGCGCGUAGGCGGCCAUUCAAGUCGGGGGUGAAAGCCUGUGGCUCAACCACAGAAUUGCCUUCGAUACUGUUUGGCUUGAGUUUGGUAGAGGUUGGUGGAACUGCGAGUGUAGAGGUGAAAUUCGUAGAUAUUCGCAAGAACACCAGUGGCGAAGGCGGCCAACUGGACCAACACUGACGCUGAGGCGCGAAAGCGUGGGGAGCAAACAGGAUUAGAUACCCGAG